rnacentral:rRNA from 1 species
UACGGAGGGUGCAAGCGUUAUCCGGCUUUACUGGGCGUAAAGGGUGCGGAGGUGGCCUUGCAAGUCGGUGGUUAAAGAAUACGGCUCAACCGUAUUAAGCCGCCGAAACUGUAAGACUUGAGUGCAGGAGAGGAAAGUGGAAUUCCCAGUGUAGCGGUGAAAUGCGUAGAUAUUGAGAAGAACACCAGUAGCGAAGGCGG